rnacentral:rRNA from 1 species
UACGUAGGGUGCAAGCGUUAUCCGGAAUUAUUGGGCGUAAAGAGCUCGUAGGCGGUUUGUCGCGUCUGCUGUGAGAACCCGAGGCUCAACCUCGGGCCUGCAGUGGGUACGGGCAGACUAGAGUGCGGUAGGGGAGAUUGGAAUUCCUGGUGUAGCGGUGGAAUGCGCAGAUAUCAGGAGGAACACCGAUGGCGAAGGCAGAUCUCUGGGCCGUAACUGACGCUGAGGAGCGAAAGCGUGGGGAGCGAACAGG